rnacentral:rRNA from 1 species
UACGUAGGGUGCAAGCGUUGUCCGGAAUUAUUGGGCGUAAAGAGCUCGUAGGCGGUUUGUCGCGUCUGCUGUGAAAAUCCAGGGCUUAACCCUGGACCUGCAGUGGGUACGGGCAGACUAGAGUGCGGUAGGGGAGAUCGGAAUUCCUGGUGUAGCGGUGAAAUGCGCAGAUAUCAGGAGGAACACCGGUGGCGAAGGCGGGACUCUGGGCCGAUACUGACGCUGAGGAGCGAAAGCGUGGGGAGCAAACAGG